rnacentral:rRNA from 1 species
AGUGAACGCUGGCGGUAGGCCUAACACAUGCAAGUCGAACGAGUGGCGGAGGGGUGAGGAAUACAUCGGAAUCUACUAUGUCGUGGGGGAUAACGUAGGGAAACUUACGCUAAUACCGCAUACGAUUGAAUGAGCAGAUGUCGGAUUAGCGAGUUGGUGGGGUAAAGUCACACCAAGGCGACGAUCCGUAGCUGGUCUGCGAGGCUGAUCAGCCAAACUGGAACUAAGACACGGUCCAGACUCCAACGGGAGGCAGCAGGGGGGAAUAUUGGACAAUGGGCGCAAGCCUGAUCCAGCCAGACCGCGUGGGUGAAGAAGGCCUGCGGGUUGUAAAGCCCUUUUGUUGGGAAAGCGGUACCCAAAGAAUAAGCACCGGCUAACUUCGUGCCAGCAGCCGCGGUAAUAC